rnacentral:rRNA from 1 species
AGAGCGAACGCUGGCGGCAGGCCUAAUACAUGCAAGUCGAACGGACCCUUCGGGGUUAGUGGCGGACGGGUGAGUAACACGUGGGAACGUGCCCUUUGGUUCGGAACAACUCAGGGAAACUUGAGCUAAUACCGAAUGUGCCCCCAUCCUUAAACAAGAUGGGUGGGAAAGAUUUAUCGCCAUUGGAGCGGCCCGCGUCUGAUUAGCUAGUUGGUGGGGUAAAGGCUCACCAAGGCGACGAUCAGUAGCUGGUCUGAGAGGAUGAUCAGCCACACUGGGACUGAGACACGGCCCAGACUCCUACGGGAGGCAGCAGUAGGGAAUCUUGCGCAAUGGGCGAAAGCCUGACGCAGCCAUGCCGCGUGAAUGAUGAAGGUCUUAGGAUUGUAAAAUUCUUUCAGCGGGGACGAUAAUGACGGUACCCGCAGAAGAACGCCCGGCUAACUUCGUGCCAGCAGCCGC